CCAGAUUUGGUCCUGAGCUAACCGUUAUUUUUUACUAAAAUUAUACAUGCAAGCCUCAACAAACCAGUGAAAAUGCCCAUAUACCCCCAAACAGGUAAACCGGAGCAGGCAUCAGGCACUUAAAACAGCCCACAACGCCUUGUCAUACCACACCCCCACGGGUUAGCAGCAGUAAUUAACAUUAGGCUAUAAGUGAAAACUUGACCCAGUUACAGUAUAUUGGGCUGGCCAAUUUCGUGCCAGCCGCCGCGGUUAAACGAAAGGCCCCAAAUAACGGUCUUACGGCGUAAAUAGUGACUAGAUAUUACUACUAUAAAAAUAUAAAACUCACAGCUCCGUCGUAAAAUACUAAAACUAUGAAGAAAGCCAACACAGUAUUUUUAUAGUAAACUAUUGACCACACGAAAGCUUAGAAACAAACUAGGAUUAGAUACCCUACUAUGCUAAGCCCUAAACAUAGAUUAAGCAACUUUACAACGCUUUCCGCCAGAGAACUACAAGUAAAAAACUUAAAACUCAAAGGACUUGGCGGUGUCCCACACCGAUCUAGAGGAGCCUGUCCUAUAAUCGAUACCCCCCGCUCAACCCAACCUUAACUAGCCCCUCAGCCUAUAUACCGCCGUCGACAGUCUACCCCAUGAGGGCCCAACAGUAGACAUAAUAACCACACCCGCUAACACGUCAGGUCAAGGUGUAGCAAAUGUUAAGGAAGAGAUUGGCUACAUUUUUUAUUUUAAAAAACACGAAAUGCACCAUGAAACAUUGCACAAAGGUGAAUUUAGCAGUAAACUAGAACAGAGAAUCUAUUUUAAUAUCGCCCUGGGACGCGCACACACCGCCCGUCACCCUCCUCACCAACACCUUUUACUAAAUAAACACCUUUAAUAUUCAAGAGGAGGUAAGUCGUAACAUGGUAAGCGUACCGGAAGGUGUGCUUGGACUA
rnacentral:ncRNA from 1 species